GUCCAUGCCGUAAACGAUGAGGACUCGCUGUUGGCAUUCAUUUGUCAGCGGCUUAGGGAAACCGUUAAGUCCUCCACCUGGGGAGUACGCCGGCAACGGUGAAACUCAAAGGAAUUGACGGGGUCCGCACAAGCGGUGGAGCAUGUGGUUUAAUUCGAUGAUACGCGAGGAACCUUACCUGGGCUAAAUCACAUUAGAAGUAUCCAGAAAUGGGUAUGCCAGCAAUGGCUGGUGUGAAGGUGCUGCAUGGCUGUCGU
rnacentral:rRNA from 1 species